GCUUUAAGAGCACUAAUUUAUAUGGUGUAGUGAAAGUUCAUGUAAUUUUUUCAAAAUCGAAUAUGUGGAAAGGAGCUGUUUGGAAUGAAGAUUUACAAGAAGAAGUAAUUCUAUCUAAUUGGAUUAGUGAUAAAAUUGUUUGUCGGCUUCCAAGUACCAAAGCAUUGGCUGCACUAAAAUGCAGAGAAGAAUUGGCUUAAAUUUAUACAAAUAAAAACUAAAUUUACUUAAGAGUAUUUUCGAAAAGUUAUAUGGUCUCUAUGGAUAUGAAGGGCAAAGGUGGAAAAAUAUGUUU
rnacentral:lncRNA from 1 species